CUCUCUCUCUCUCUCAUCUCUUAUACCGGGUGAAGGUAAUCAUUCCCUUCAUCAUCACCUCCUACGCCACCCAUAUCAGGACCCUUGCUGCCUCCGCUCGACUGCUGCCCUCAAUCCCCCUUGAAAGAAGCCGGAAGUCUUGGAGGGUGGGGGAGAGGAGGAGAUAAAACCAGGCAAGGGAAGCUUGAUCUUUGAGGGGAAUGUUGUCUGGCUCGAGGCCUUCGUUUCUCUUACAGAUCUGUUUGAAGAGAUCUCGGACCAGGCUUCAUUCCCCCCAAUCGUAGCUUCCAUCUCUCUACCUCUACCUAGCAGUCACCAUGGCCUCAAGAUCUGAAGUAGAUCAAGCUCUACUGAAUGACAUCAAUAUUUUGUUAAAAGGGAUGAAGAUAUCUGUGAUGCACAGACUUGGAAUGUUUUGUUGAAGUUGAAGUUAAGGCUUUUGGACGACUAUAUGCGGCCACUUUUGUGGACAUCUUUACUGUUUGGCUUGUCGGCAGCGGAAGAGUUUGAAUAUAAGCUCUUCGGUGCUUUCUUUUCCAUGAGUUCGCCGUUCCAGGAAGAGCAUUGGAAAUGGUGUCCACGGUAAUCCGACCAAUGUUUCUUUGUGUGGAGGCGAGGGUACUAUCAAAUUGGAUUUGUGGCAGAGAGAUGAUGUUAAGCAUUGCACUUUUGUUCUUGUAAUUAUUUGCAGUAGAAUAACAUUUGUUAAGCAACAGCUUCGGAAAA